CUACACACAUCCUCCUGUGUACUUUAAAUCAUCUCUAGGUUACUUAUAAUACCUGAUACAAUAUAAACGCUAUACAAAUAAUUGUUAUACUAUAUAUUAUGGGCAUUUGAAAAU